GCGACCCCAGGUCAGGCGGGAUCACCCGCUGAGUUUAAGCAUAUCAAUAAGCGGAGGAGAAGAAACUUACAAGGAUUCCCUUAGUAACGGCGAGCGAACCGGGAAUAGCCCAACUUGAGAAUCGGGCGG
rnacentral:rRNA from 2 species